UGCCAUCUCCCCUGGGUCCAGAAGGGCAGGAAAUGGCAAGGGCUGGACGGGCUGUGGGCACGCAUUUACCUUCCAAGGCAAGAAACUUAUUUGAGAGAUGAGGCUUAGAGGCUGCAUUACCAAUCAAGGAGAUGCCAAAUUGAUUGGAAAAUGCCUGGUGAAAUAAACCCCACCGUGACAUCCUCCACCUUCCAGCUGGAGACCAGCAGUCACAGUGAGCACAAGGGAGCCAAGAGGCACCCAACAUGCCCAGUGUGAGUCCAGCACUCCCUAAUUCCACCUCUCACCUACCCAGCUGCUCAGAUAAAUAUGAGGGGUGAGAGGUGCCUCUCUUCAGCCCAGCCAGGGCCAUCAGCACGGCACACCACCAUCAUCCAGAGACGGAUCCCAGAGACCCACGGAGGGCAGCAGCAAUUCAGCCCCCAGGGAAGAGCACAGUGACCGCAUGGCAGGGAAUCCCAGAGCCAGCAGACAAUGUAGCCGUCCUCCCCGGCUCAGCGCCGGCUGACAAACGGGAACAAGCCCAGCUGAGCCAUCCACUUCCCUACCCUGGCAAUUAUACUCUGAGAGAAAGGUUCAAAGCACUAUUGUGAUCAAUUAAAUCGAAAAAGGAACAGUGUCAGCUCGCAGCCCUGGGAGGAUCCGGCCCUUUACUGAUCUCUGAAUUAAAAACGCGCAUCACAGCGUGCACAACGUACGGCUCCUGCGGGGAAAAAGGAAAAAUCCUUUUUCUAGGCAGAAGCGUUCAGCACUCAGGAGACACAAAAAGCCACGUACUGAGACAUCCCUGGCAGGGAGAGGGGAAACCAGCGGCUCAGCUUUUGGGGAGGAGAGGGAGGGUUAUCUAUUAUCCUUCCUUCCAACGCAUCGGGUCUGCUGCAAGACCAGGGUGAGGACGAAAUUCGGAUUUAAAGGGACACGCAGAUGGUCGGUGUGAAGCACGCUCCCUUUCCCCGCGGCGCCCCCCCCGCGCCCCUCGGCGCGGGCACGUCCAGCCGGAGCCGGAGCCGGGUCCCCGCGGGCAGCAACUAGGGAGCAGAAAUCCAGGUUGGCAACUUGCGCUCGGCGGGCUGUAAAUCACUCCCGCUCCAUUCACAGCAGCAGUCGUGCAUGAAGGUCUCACCUCCAAAUGGUCCCCGCACGCCCGAAGGUGAGCCAAGAGUCAGAUUAAUACCUAAGGGGCUUUGCACUGGGAAAUGCCACACCAGAGAAAAACGUUUUCCUGGGAUGGAGAUAGCAGCUGGAUUUUGGGGUGAGCCACAGAACUGCAACCUCGGGCAGGCAAGCAGCCUGCACCCUGCUUCUGCUCUCAAACGUUGCCCCUCACCUGCCCGAGUCGCCAAGUCACCCGUGCCUCAGUUUUCCUAGCCAUCACACUGGGCACGAGGCAAAAAAUCUGGCUAAAUCUGGCUUGCCUCCAUGGAACAGUGAUAUUUCAGGAAAUAAAAGAAGUGCAUGAGUGUUUGAUGAAGGACUAAGAUUGCCACCUGCUAAAACAAAAUGCCCAUCUGCCACGCGUUGAGAUGGUUGUUCUUCAUGCUACCUCCUCAUGGGAGUAGUCUUGGGAGGAAAAAACAAGAGAGUCUUUUUCCCUGAACUGCAUCUCCUGGUCCACAUGUGCUUUUUGGGUGCCAAACCAACAGGUGCCUGGACUUGCAACUAGCAAGUUCCAGCCCUGCCUUAUACUUGCCCAUUAUGAUGUUCAUGGCAUGGCCUGCCCAUGUUCCCCAAGGUAAGUGGGAAUAUUCCUCUGGCUGUCUGCAAAAUGGGAGCGGUUAUGAUGGGAUAACUCUGCUGAGACCCUCACCUUCCUUCUGCUUUCAGUCCUUCUCAUCUCAUUUACACAUUUCCUUUCAAUCGCUUCUACAGGAAUGUUUCUCGAUGCCCGGUAAGCUGCAGUGGGGAAGUUGCCCAUGAAAAACACCAAGAAAUCUCAAUAAAAGAAAGGAAG